UUAAGCGACUAAGCGUACACGGUGGAUGCCCUGGCAGUCAGAGGCGAUGAAGGACGUGCUAAUCUGCGAUAAGCGUCGGUAAGGUGAUAUGAACCGUUAUAACCGGCGAUUUCCGAAUGGGGAAACCCAGUGUGAUUCGUCACACUAUCAUUAACUGAAUCCAUAGGUUAAUGAGGCGAACCGGGGGAACUGAAACAUCUAAGUACCCCGAGGAAAAGAAAUCAACCGAGAUUCCCCCAGUAGCGGCGAGCGAACGGGGAGGAGCCCAGAGCCUGAAUCAGUGUGUGUGUUAGUGGAAGCGUCUGGAAAGGCGCGCGAUACAGGGUGACAGCCCCGUACACAAAAAUGCACAUACUGUGAGCUCGAUGAGUAGGGCGGGACACGUGGUAUCCUGUCUGAAUAUGGGGGGACCAUCCUCCAAGGCUAAAUACUCCUGACUGACCGAUAGUGAACCAGUACCGUGAGGGAAAGGCGAAAAGAACCCCGGCGAGGGGAGUGAAAAAGAACCUGAAACCGUGUACGUACAAGCAGUGGGAGCACAGAGCAAUCUGUGUGACUGCGUACCUUUUGUAUAAUGGGUCAGCGACUUAUAUUCUGUAGCAAGGUUAACCGAAUAGGGGAGCCGAAGGGAAACCGAGUCUUAACUGGGCGUUAAGUUGCAGGGUAUAGACCCGAAACCCGGUGAUCUAGCCAUGGGCAGGUUGAAGGUUGGGUAACACUAACUGGAGGACCGAACCGACUAAUGUUGAAAAAUUAGCGGAUGACUUGUGGCUGGGGGUGAAAGGCCAAUCAAACCGGGAGAUAGCUGGUUCUCCCCGAAAGCUAUUUAGGUAGCGCCUCGUGAAUUCAUCUCCGGGGGUAGAGCACUGUUUCGGCAAGGGGGUCAUCCCGACUUACCAACCCGAUGCAAACUGCGAAUACCGGAGAAUGUUAUCACGGGAGACACACGGCGGGUGCUAACGUCCGUCGUGAAGAGGGAAACAACCCAGACCGCCAGCUAAGGUCCCAAAGUCAUGGUUAAGUGGGAAACGAUGUGGGAAGGCCCAGACAGCCAGGAUGUUGGCUUAGAAGCAGCCAUCAUUUAAAGAAAGCGUAAUAGCUCACUGGUCGAGUCGGCCUGCGCGGAAGAUGUAACGGGGCUAAACCAUGCACCGAAGCUGCGGCAGCGACACUGUGUGUUGUUGGGUAGGGGAGCGUUCUGUAAGCCUGUGAAGGUGUGCUGUGAGGCAUGCUGGAGGUAUCAGAAGUGCGAAUGCUGACAUAAGUAACGAUAAAGCGGGUGAAAAGCCCGCUCGCCGGAAGACCAAGGGUUCCUGUCCAACGUUAAUCGGGGCAGGGUGAGUCGACCCCUAAGGCGAGGCCGAAAGGCGUAGUCGAUGGGAAACAGGUUAAUAUUCCUGUACUUGGUGUUACUGCGAAGGGGGGACGGAGAAGGCUAUGUUGGCCGGGCGACGGUUGUCCCGGUUUAAGCGUGUAGGCUGGUUUUCCAGGCAAAUCCGGAAAAUCAAGGCUGAGGCGUGAUGACGAGGCACUACGGUGCUGAAGCAACAAAUGCCCUGCUUCCAGGAAAAGCCUCUAAGCAUCAGGUAACAUCAAAUCGUACCCCAAACCGACACAGGUGGUCAGGUAGAGAAUACCAAGGCGCUUGAGAGAACUCGGGUGAAGGAACUAGGCAAAAUGGUGCCGUAACUUCGGGAGAAGGCACGCUGAUAUGUAGGUGAAGUCCCUCGCGGAUGGAGCUGAAAUCAGUCGAAGAUACCAGCUGGCUGCAACUGUUUAUUAAAAACACAGCACUGUGCAAACACGAAAGUGGACGUAUACGGUGUGACGCCUGCCCGGUGCCGGAAGGUUAAUUGAUGGGGUCAGCGCAAGCGAAGCUCUUGAUCGAAGCCCCGGUAAACGGCGGCCGUAACUAUAACGGUCCUAAGGUAGCGAAAUUCCUUGUCGGGUAAGUUCCGACCUGCACGAAUGGCGUAAUGAUGGCCAGGCUGUCUCCACCCGAGACUCAGUGAAAUUGAACUCGCUGUGAAGAUGCAGUGUACCCGCGGCAAGACGGAAAGACCCCGUGAACCUUUACUAUAGCUUGACACUGAACAUUGAGCCUUGAUGUGUAGGAUAGGUGGGAGGCUUUGAAGUGUGGACGCCAGUCUGCAUGGAGCCGACCUUGAAAUACCACCCUUUAAUGUUUGAUGUUCUAACGUUGACCCGUAAUCCGGGUUGCGGACAGUGUCUGGUGGGUAGUUUGACUGGGGCGGUCUCCUCCUAAAGAGUAACGGAGGAGCACGAAGGUUGGCUAAUCCUGGUCGGACAUCAGGAGGUUAGUGCAAUGGCAUAAGCCAGCUUGACUGCGAGCGUGACGGCGCGAGCAGGUGCGAAAGCAGGUCAUAGUGAUCCGGUGGUUCUGAAUGGAAGGGCCAUCGCUCAACGGAUAAAAGGUACUCCGGGGAUAACAGGCUGAUACCGCCCAAGAGUUCAUAUCGACGGCGGUGUUUGGCACCUCGAUGUCGGCUCAUCACAUCCUGGGGCUGAAGUAGGUCCCAAGGGUAUGGCUGUUCGCCAUUUAAAGUGGUACGCGAGCUGGGUUUAGAACGUCGUGAGACAGUUCGGUCCCUAUCUGCCGUGGGCGCUGGAGAACUGAGGGGGGCUGCUCCUAGUACGAGAGGACCGGAGUGGACGCAUCACUGGUGUUCGGGUUGUCAUGCCAAUGGCACUGCCCGGUAGCUAAAUGCGGAAGAGAUAAGUGCUGAAAGCAUCUAAGCACGAAACUUGCCCCGAGAUGAGUUCUCCCUGACCCUUUAAGGGUCCUGAAGGAACGUUGAAGACGACGACGUUGAUAGGCCGGGUGUGUAAGCGCAGCGAUGCGUUGAGCUAACCGGUACUAAUGAACCGUGAGGCUUAACCUU
rnacentral:rRNA from 1 species